rnacentral:rRNA from 1 species
GACGAGCAUCACAAACGUUAUUCGGAAUUACUGGGCUUAAAGGGUGCGUAGGCGGUGCAGCAAGUCGGGAGUGAAAUCCCACAGCUCAACUGUGGAAUUGCUUUCGAUACUGCUGUGCUUGAGUGAGAUAGAGGUAAGCGGAACUUAGGGUGGAGCGGUGAAAUGCGUUGAUAUCCUAAGGAACACCGGUGGCGAAGGCGGCCAUCUGGACCGCAACUGACGCUGAGGCGCGAAAGCGUGGGGAGCAAACAGG